UACGGAGGGUGCAAGCGUUGUCCGGAUUUAUUGGGUUUAAAGGGUGCGUAGGCGGCCCUGUAAGUCAGUGGUGAAAUACUGCAGCUUAACUGUAGCAUUGCCAUUGAUACUGCAGGGCUUGAGUACAGAUGAGGUAGGCGGAAUUGAUGGUGUAGCGGUGAAAUGCAUAGAUACCAUCAAGAACACCGAUUGCGAAGGCAGCCUCCUGGGCCAACACUGACGCUCAUGCACGAAAGCGUGGGGAGCAAACAGG
rnacentral:rRNA from 1 species